GCCGUUCGAACAGGGCGGUACCUUGACGGUACCUGACGAGGAAGCCACGGCUAACUACGUGCCAGCAGCCGCGGUAAUACGUAGGUGGCAAGCGUUGUCCGGAAUUAUUGGGCGUAAAGCGCGCGCAGGCGGUUCCUUAAGUCUGAUGUGAAAUCUCGCGGCUCAACCGCGAGCGGCCAUUGGAAACUGGGGAACUUGAGUGCAGGAGAGGGGAGCGGAAUUCCACGUGUAGCGGUGAAAUGCGUAAAGAUGUGGAGGAACACCAGUGGCGAAGGCGGCUCUCUGGCCUGUAACUGACGCUGAGGCGCGAAAGCGUGGGGAGCGAACAGGAUUAGAUACCCUGGUAGUCCACGCCGUAAACGAUGAGUGCUAAGUGUUAGAGGGUAUCCACCCUUUAGUGCUGCAGCAAACGCAUUAAGCACUCCGCCUGGGGAGUACGGCCGCAAGGCUGAAACUCAAAGGAAAUUGACG
rnacentral:rRNA from 1 species